AGUGUGUUAAAGUUAUUCUGAUAUUGACUGUAGUUCUGAGCUUUGUCUCUAUCCCACCAAACCACUAACUUCUGGAAAUUACUUGUAGACCAAGAUGGGAGGACUCCGUGUGUGGCUCCAUAUGAAUGACUUAUCGUGCCUGUCCAGAGUCAGGGAAAGGAGAAACAAUCUUAUUUGAGAAGGGAGGAUAUCACUGCAGUGGUUGUGAAAUCGUGUUUGGAAGCUAGAUUGCUCUAGACCACUAAGGUCUGUGUCUCCUCUUGGUCUUCACAGCUCUCUUCAUGUGACAAAGAAACUUCCUAAAAUACUAAAAGCUAAAGGAGAUUGUUAUCUAAGCUUGAGAUGGAAGGUUGCCAGCGGAAACUUGGAGGAUCACAGCCAGUCGCCUGGGAUUGACCACAGGGAGUGGCAGAGGCAGAAAGCAAAAGACCAGUUGCAAUUAUCCAGAAUCCUGAAUUGAGCCUGUGUUCCCAGUUCCUAGAAACCCUCAAGGUUAUUGGUUUCCUCCUCGCUUAAUAGACCAGUGGAAGAAAUCUACCUCCAGUUCUAUCUUCACAUGAGCAACUGUUUACAGUUUACAAUAUUACUCUGAAAAUCAGUUCUUUUCAAGUUUUAUCUAACACCCACCAGAAGAAACAGAAGAUUAUGAAAAUGGAAUUUGUCAAAGUUCCUCUCCCAACAAUAUGAUAUUUAAUUUUGCUAACAUUUUUUUUUGAACACUUACUAUAUUGCAGACAAUGGUCUAAGUAAAGCAUUUUAUGUGCAUCCUAUCAUGUCAUCAUCACACAGCCCUGUGAGGUAGAUACUAUUAUUAUUAACCACAUUUCACAUUCAAAAAAACUGAGGCUUAGAGAGACUAAGUAAAUUGUCCAAGGUCACACAGCCAUGAAGUGGCAGAGCUGUGGUUAAAACCUAUGUCUGUCUGAUGUUUAAGAUUUUGCUGUUAGCAUUACUUUGAAAUGACAAUAUGAGGGCAUUUUAUGUAUUUUUUUUGCCCCAAUAUGAUCUGCAGAAACUAUGUAUUUUAAGUACUACAUUUCUUUUAUUUACCAAAUUAUUGUCAGAUAAGAAACCGAAAUAAAAGUUUACAGGGUCUAGGAUUCCUCCAUAAUGAAUGAACUUUGGGGUAUUUCAGUGACAAAUUGGCUUUAACGCGAUCAAAUUCCAUCCUACAAUGAAAGUGUGUUAGUUUGUGGUUUCAAGUUUAAAAACAGCACUGUAUUGUCUUCCAGAAAUAUAUAAAUAGAAAUUCAAGAAGUAUUUCAAUGAAUACAGAUAAAAUUAGUUUUGUUAGAACAUCAAAUAUGUGGGUUUCAUUUCUUAGCUCAGUUUAGAAACUGUAAUUUCAAUUUUUUUUAGCAGCUGUGGUAAAUUUUGAGAUUUGAAAUUUCAUAUAAUAUAAAUCCUCAUUUAUUGAGCAUUUAAAUUAUAUGCCCAACAAUUUACUGUGUACAUUACUUCACUUGUUCUUAACUAUAACUCUACAAAAUAUUAUUGUCCUUGAUUUAUAGAUGAAGAUAUUGAGACUCAGUUAAGUAACUUGCUUGAAAUUCAAAAACGUUAACUGUGGAAGGCAGUAUUUGAACCCAGUGUUCAAAACCCCAUGCUCUUUUUAUUAUAUGACCUUAUUUCCUAUUCAGUCUUCAGAAGAUAUAUUGUCUUAUUAGAUUAUUCUCGUUCUCUAAAUAAGUGACCUUGGGCAACUAUCUUUUUCCCUGGUAUUUUCCCCUGCCUUUAAAACAAUGUGAUCAAACUGGAAGUUUUUCACGAUCUCUCUUAGCCCUAAAGCUCCUUGGUUCUGUAAUUCCACCAAUAGCCCAUUUCAAAAAUAAUUCUACAGUAAUCAGUGGGACUCCUGUUUUUCCCAUCUUUUUUUUUUUUGAAACAGAAAAUUGAAACUUUUAAAUUAGUUUAGUAAAUACAUCUACUAGUUUUUUUCUUUUAUAGUCAUGGUUAUAUUAUUUGGUCCUUCUUAGUUGCAACAUGUUUCCUUGCUGUCAAUUUAUAAUACCUCUCAUCAACAAUAGCCUGAAGAAAUAGAUUUGAAUUGCUUUCCCUAAUUUAUAGCUGGAAAACUAGGCUACGCUGGUAUCUUAAAUUGACUUUCCUGAGGUCACGGGCACUCAGUGCCAAGAGGAGUUGGUACCUACGCAUUUGAAAUUUCUGGAUUUCUGGUCUUACUCUGUACUUAGUCACUCUUUUCUUUCAUUUGGCCCUAUGGUGGGCAAACUACAGCCUACAGGCCAAUUCCAGCCUACCAUCUGUUUUUGUAUGGUCCAUGAACUAAGAAUGGUUAUCACAUUUUAAAAUGGUGGGAAAAAAAGACUAUUUUGUGACAUAAAAAUUAUAUGAAAUCCAAA
ensembl:lncRNA LINC01844 long intergenic non-protein coding RNA 1844